rnacentral:lncRNA from 1 species
CUGCUAAUCUCCCUCUUGCAACAGUAGCAAAGCUACAUAGUAAACUAGCUGCAGGCAAAAAAUCAUGUACUCAUGUUGCCCAUAUGUAUAACAUAUUUCUUUAAUGUCUGUCAUUUAAAAAAGAUAUACAUCGUGAUUAUUAUGAGGGAAUUCAAGUAGAGUUUGAUCUCAUUCAUUGCAAGAAAGCAACAGAGCAGCUUCAAGUGCUUCAAUUGCAGCUACUGGUCAAUAAUUGCAUGCAGACCACACAGCCUCCAGAACUUCAGGAACAGUUCAAAAUGCCUGGGGAAAUAACACUUUCUUUAAACCUCCUUCUGCCUGAACCUUAACACGGAGCUUCCAACUCUGCUAUGAAUGGGAAGAAGCCUGUCACAAUUCAACUAAGGAUAGAACAGACUGUUUUGCAAUCCUGC